rnacentral:rRNA from 1 species
GACGAACGCUGGCGGCGUGCUUAACACAUGCAAGUCGAACGGAAAGGCCCUGCUUUUGUGGGGUGCUCGAGUGGCGAACGGGUGAGUAACACGUGAGUAACCUGCCCUUGACUUUGGGAUAACUUCAGGAAACUGGGGCUAAUACCGGAUAGGAGCUCCUGCUGCAUGGUGGGGGUUGGAAAGUUUCGGCGGUUGGGGAUGGACUCGCGGCUUAUCAGCUUGUUGGUGGGGUAGUGGCUUACCAAGGCUUUGACGGGUAGCCGGCCUGAGAGGGUGACCGGCCGCAUUGAGACUGAGAUACGACCCAGACUCCUACGGGAGGCAGCAGUGGGGAAUAUUGCACAAUGGGCGGAAGCCUGAUGCAGCAACGCCGCGUGCGGGAUGACGGCCUUCGGGUUGUAAACCGCUUUCGCCUGUGACGAAGCGUGAGUGACGGUAAUGGGUAAAGAAGCACCGGCUAACUACGUG